rnacentral:rRNA from 1 species
AGUGAACGCUGGCGGUAGGCCUAACACAUGCAAGUCGAACGGCAGCACAGGAGAGCUUGCUCUCUGGGUGGCGAGUGGCGGACGGGUGAGGAAUACAUCGGAAUCUCCUUUUUCGUGGGGGAUAACGUAGGGAAACUUACGCUAAUACCGCAUACGACCUACGGGAGAAAGCAGGGGACCUUCGGGCCUUGCGCGAUUGAAUGAGCCGAUGUCGGAUUAGCUAGUUGGCGGGGUAAAGGCCCACCAAGGCGACGAACCGUAGCUGGUCUGAGAGGAUGAUCAGCCACACUGGAACUGAGACACGGUCCAGACUCCUACGGGAGGCAGCAGUGGGGAAUAUUGGACAAUGGGCGCAAGCCUGAUCCAGCCAUACCGCGUGGGUGAAGAAGGCCUUCGGGUUGUAAAGCCCUUUUGUUGGGAAAGAAAUCCAGCUGGCUAAUACCCGGUUGGGAUGACGGUACCCAAAGAAUAAGCACCGGCUAACUUCGUGCCAGCCGCCGCGUAA